GAUCAUAAAGACCAUAAAGACAAAAGCUGGAUCCUAAGGAUGACAGGUGAAUGAACUAUAAGGAAACUUUGUAUCUGAGAACCUCAUAGGGGAACCAGACCAACCCUGGGCUGAGAAGUCUGAACAUCUUUUAUGGAGUAGCAAAUAAAGGACACAAAGCUCAUAACUUUUAGUUUUGCAAACUAUGAAAAUUUUAUAACAAAAGGAAAUAAGACGUGAACCAUCAACAAUUCCCCAUACAGCUAUUGUGAAACAAAAAAGUUAAGAGAAUUCACCUCCAAAAUCCCAGAAGCACUUCUGUCACCGUUCAACAUCUAUGGCCAUGUUCUCAGUGUGUACUUGAUAAGAGACUAUAUCUUUAGUCAUUAGGGAAUUUUCCAGCCCUCCUUUGUUAUCACUUGCUUCAUUCAUACGAUUCUUGGCCUCUUACGAGAUGAUGAGUUCCCGAAAGCCUCAAAGAGCCUAGCAGAGUGCUGGGCUUUUAUUUCGAGCUUCACCUUUGCCUAUUGAUGUCACUGAAAUGUGGAGAUCCAGGGCUUACCAGAGGGAAAAGGGCAGUGGAAUAGUUUUCCAAAAUCCGUCAACAUCAGCAAAACAGAAGCUUCCUAAUCCCAGAGCUGCAGCUCAAUAAUACAGCCACGGCAAUCAGCACAGGCUUAUUGGGCAAACUCGCUGUGAUGAUAACCAACACUCCGCGAAGGUAGCCAAAUCCUUGAGUUCGUUUUAACUUCCAAGACCUCGAAGAAUCAAGUACAGGAGGAAAUCUAAGUGUUGAAAUGCAAAUAACUUCUAAGGACAUAAAUAAAGCGGAAUGUGAUUGUGCCGAGCUUCCAGAAACCUACAGAACGGCUGUUUCUAACGAAGCCCAGCUCUACUGUACACUUCUGACUUCUACUAAGAACUCAUGGAGAUCUCCAUCAAGAUAAUUAGAAAGUCUAACUGAAGUGCCUAGAAGAUUCUGUUUCAGACAGUAUGACUAGAGCCACGAUCAUGUAGGACAUUGGGAUCUGUUCUAGAACACAAAGGUAGCUUGCUGUGGUUGAUCAUUUCAGACUCAUCUUCCAUCCAGUUGAUGAAUGGCCCAUACUACACUUAGGGCCACAACCACUAUCAAAUCAACCGAUGGGUCCCACCUCAGAGCAAUUUGAAAAAAACGACCCUCGCUUUGCCACUGAAAACCUUCUCCACAAUUCUUAGAGUAUCCAAAUAUCUCUUUUUCUUGCUUCACAGAACCCACAGUUUAAGCAGAGUAAGCCUGUCUGUUUUCGAUUCUUAACUUUUCACACAUGGCAAACGAGUAGAACUUUUGAACACUGCGAUCAUCUGGCUGAUGAGCAAGCUGUUUUCCGUUUCUGGCAACAAAUACUUCUGGCUUAUCUUGACGGGAAGAAAAGGGAUGAAAAUAUACUCUGGUUGGAUAUCAUUGAUAACAUUUGUCAUCUUUGCAGCUAAAAAAAAAAUAGCUUAGAAAAAGUCUCCCUUGGUGUUGCAGAAAAUGGCAAAGAAUUGGCACCACCACUGAGGUGCCAAUUAAACUGAAUUUGUAAAUGAA